AAGAGAAAGAGAUUUGGUUUUGAAUUGAGGAAGAAUUAAAACCCUAUAUCCGGUUAUAUAAGCCGCUGCUACAGUAACGGUACCGGUACGGGUUCGUGUACCGGUACACGAUCUCAGAUUUCGAAAAAUUGACUUUAAAAAAUCUAUCAAAUUAAAUUAAUUUCAUAUAAAUUAAGAAUUUUACUCCAAAAAUCAUUAUAAUGAGAAUAAAAUAUUAUAAAAUUUUAAAAUAUAUCGAAACAUCAAAAUUUCAUUAUCAAAAAUGAUUUCAAGUUUCAAAAUCAUCAAGAUGUAACGGUUCACAAAAA
rnacentral:lncRNA from 1 species